GAUGAAGAACGCAGCGAAAUGCGAUACCUGGUGUGAAUUGCAGAAUCCCGCGAACCAUCGAGUCUUUGAACGCAAGUUGCGCCCGAGGCCACCCGGCCGAGGGCACGCCUGCCUGGGCGUCACGCCAAAACACGCUCCCACCCCCCCUCACCGGGGGAGCGGGACGCGGCGUCUGGCCCCCCGUGCCGCGAGGCGCGGUGCGCCGAAGAUCGGGCUGCCAGCGUACCGUGCCGGGCACAGCGCGUGGUGGAUCUCUACUCGGCGCAGUGCACCCGGCGCGUAGCCGGCGCAGCGGCCCCUAAGGACCCAACGAACGGAGCGCGAGCCGCUCCGACCGCGACCCCAGGUCAGGCGGGACUACCCGCUGAGUUUAAGCAUAUCAAUAAGCGGAGGA
rnacentral:misc_RNA from 1 species